rnacentral:ncRNA from 1 species
ACUGACGGAGCCAGCAAGUCCAACCUUGGUCGAGAGGCCCGGGUAAUCUCGUGAAACUCCGUCGUGCUGGGGAUAGAGCAUUGUAAUUUUUGCUCUUCAAC